rnacentral:rRNA from 1 species
GACGAACGCUGGCGGUGUGCUUCACACAUGCAAGUCGAACGAGGUAGCAAUACCUAGUGGCGGACGGGUGAGUAACGCGUGGGAAUCUGCCUUUAGAUGGGGGGAUAACGGGUCGAAAGACUCGCUAAUACCGCAUAUGACGAAAGUUGAAAGGAGUAAUCCGUCUAAAGAUGAGCCCGCGUCCGAUUAGCUAGUUGGUAGAGUAAAAGCCUACCAAGGCGACGAUCGGUAGCUGGUCUGAGAGGAUGAUCAGACCACAAUGGGACUGAGACACGGCCCAUACUCCUACGGGAGGCAGCAGUGGGGAAUUUACGGCAAUGGGCGAAAGCCUGACGUAGCGACACCGCGUGAGCGAAGAAGCCCCUUGGGUGUAAAGCUCUGUCAGCUGGAACGAAAAAAUGAACGGUACCAGCAGAGGAAGCAUCGGCUAACUACGUG